UACAGAGGCCCCAAGCAUUAUCCGGAAUCAUUGGGCGUAAAGGGUGUCCAGGUGGUCAUGUUAGUCUUCCGUAAAAUCCAGGAGCUCAACUUCUGGCCCGCGGGAGAAACGGCAUGACUUGAGGGUGGGAGAGGUGCGUGGAACUCACGGUGUAGGGGUGAAAUCCGUUGAUAUCGUGGGGAACACCAAAGGCGAAGGCAGCGCACUGGCCCAUUCCUGACACUCACACACGAAAGCCAGGGUAGCGAACGGG
rnacentral:rRNA from 1 species